rnacentral:rRNA from 1 species
AUUUGAAAUCUAGUACCUUCGGUGCUCGAGUUGUAAUUUGGAGAUAGUUUUCUGGUGCUGGCCCUUGUCUAUGUUCCUUGGAACAGGACGUCAUAGAGGGUGAGAAUCCCGUCUGAUGGGGUGUCCAGUGCUUUGUAGAUUUCUAUCGAAGAGUCGAGUUGUUUGGGAAUGCAGCUCUAAGUGGGUGGUAAAUUCCAUCUAAAGCUAAAUAUUGGCGAGAGACCGAUAGCGAACAAGUACAGUGAUGGAAAGAUGAAAAGAACUUUGAAAAGAGAGUGAAAAAGUACGUGAAAUUGUUGAAAGGGAAGGAUAUUGGAUCAGACUUGGUGUUUUGUGAUUAUCUUCCCUUCUUGGGUUGUGCACUCGCAUUUCACUGGGCCAGCAUCGAUUCGGAUGGCAAGAUAAUGGCUUGGGAACGUGGCUCUCUUCGGGGAGUGUUAUAGCCCUUGUUGAUGUUGCCUAUCUGGAUCGAGGACU